UGAAAGUGAUCUUGCAUUACUUU
rnacentral:snRNA from 1 species